GGGGCCCGCCGCCCGCGCCUCCGCCGACACCCGGCCGCGGCUCGCGCGACCUUCCGCGCCGGCCCCGUGCGCCCCCCGCCCGGCUCGCGCCCCUCGCGUCCCCGCCCCCCGCGCGCGCUCGGGGGGGCGCGGGCGCUCCGGGGUCCCGGCCCCGCGCCGCCGCGCCCCCUCCUUUCUCCGAACGGCCCCCCCGGCUCUCCCCCCCGCAGCCCCGCCACCUCCUCGUCACCCCCCACCACCCCCCCUCGGGAUCGUCGGGCCCCGGCGGCGCGGGGGGCCUCCGGAUCGGCAGGAUGUACCCCCAGGGGAGGCACCCGACCCCGCUUCAGUCCGGCCAGCCCUUCAAGUUCUCGAUCUUGGAGAUCUGCGACCGCAUCAAAGAGGAAUUUCAGUUUCUUCAGGCUCAGUACCACAGCCUCAAGCUGGAAUGCGAGAAGCUGGCCAGUGAGAAGACAGAAAUGCAGCGACAUUAUGUCAUGUACUAUGAGAUGUCCUACGGGCUCAACAUUGAAAUGCACAAACAGGCCGAGAUCGUGAAACGCCUCAGUGGUAUCUGUGCUCAGAUUAUCCCCUUCCUGACCCAGGAGUGCUCAGUGGCCACGUGUGGCCGGCGGCUCCCUUACCCAGCAACGCAGGUCGGGCACCGUCUGUCACUGCUCCAGCAUCAGCAGCAGGUGCUACAGGCCGUGGAGCGGGCCAAGCAGGUGACUGUGGGGGAGCUGAACAGCCUCAUCGGGCAGCAGCAGCUCCAGCCACUGUCCCACCAUGCUCCCCCGGUGCCCCUCACCCCUCGCCCUGCUGGCCUGGUGGGCAGCAGCGCCACGGGGCUGCUGGCCCUGUCCGGAGCACUGGCCGCCCAGGCUCAGCUGGCUGCGGCCGCCAAGGAGGACCGGGCAGGUGGGGAGGCCGAGGGACCCAGAGUGGAGAGAGCCCCGAGCAGGAGCGCAUCCCCCUCACCCCCUGGGAGUGUGGUGGAAGAGGAAAGACCGGGCGGCCCAGGGGGCAGUGGGAAGCAGCGACCUGAGGACAAGGAUCUCUCGGGACCUUACGAGAGCGACGAAGACAAGAGUGACUACAACCUGGUGGUGGACGAGGACCAACCCUCGGAGCCCCCCAGCCCAGCUACCACCCCUUGUGGAAAGGCACCCAUCUGCGUCCCUGCCCGUCGGGACCUCGUGGACAGUCCGGCGUCCUUGGCCUCCAGCCUCGGCUCUCCACUCCCCAGAGCCAAGGAGCUUGUCCUGAACGACCUUCCCGCCAGCACUCCUGCCCCCAAGUCCUGCGACUCCUCCCCGCCCCAGGAUGCAUCCACCCCCGGGCCCAGCUCAGCCGGGCACCUCCGCCAGCUUGCUGCCAAGCCAGCGCCUUGCACGGACAGUGUUGCCCUGCGGAGCCCCCUCACGCUGUCCGGUCCCUUCACCACGUCCUUCAGCCUGAGCUCCCACAGCGCCCUUAACGGGGACCUCUCUGUGCCCAGCUCCUACGUCAGCCUCCACCUGUCCCCCCAGGUCAGCGGCUCUGUAGUGUAUGGACGGUCUCCCAUGAUGGCAUUUGAGUGUCACCCGCAUCUCCGAGGGUCCUCUGUCUCCUCCUCCCUGCCCACUAUCCCUGGUGGAAAGCCGGCCUACUCCUUCCACGUGUCCGCCGACGGGCAGAUGCAGCCGGUGCCCUUCCCCUCGGACGCGCUGGUGGGCGCGGGCAUCCCGCGGCACGCGCGGCAGCUGCACACGCUGGCGCACGGCGAGGUGGUCUGCGCCGUCACCAUCAGCGGCUCCACGCAGCACGUGUACACGGGCGGCAAAGGCUGCGUCAAAGUGUGGGACGUGGGGCAGCCGGGCGCCAAGACCCCGGUGGCGCAGCUCGACUGCCUGAACCGGGACAACUACAUUCGCUCCUGCAAGCUGCUGCCCGACGGCCGGAGUCUGAUCGUGGGCGGCGAGGCCAGCACCUUGUCCAUCUGGGACCUGGCAGCGCCCACCCCGCGCAUCAAGGCAGAGCUUACUUCCUCGGCUCCGGCCUGCUACGCCCUGGCGGUCAGCCCCGACGCCAAGGUCUGCUUUUCCUGCUGCAGCGACGGCAACAUCGUGGUCUGGGACCUGCAGAACCAGACCAUGGUCAGGCAGUUCCAGGGCCACACCGACGGCGCCAGCUGCAUCGAUAUUUCCGACUAUGGCACUCGGCUCUGGACCGGGGGUCUGGACAACACGGUGCGCUGCUGGGACCUGCGGGAGGGCCGCCAGCUGCAACAGCACGACUUCAGCUCCCAGGAACACGUCUGUGUGGCCAGGAAAGAACUUGUAAGCGCGCCCAGUCUUCUCUCUGCUCUCAGUUUAUGGUUCUUCCCACAAGUGCCCUCUCAAUCUUCUCCCUGGGCCACUGCCCCAACCAGGACUGGCUGGCCGUGGGCAUGGAGAGCAGCAACGUGGAGGUUUUGCACGUCCGCAAGCCCGAGAAGUACCAGCUGCACCUCCACGAGAGCUGCGUGCUCGCCCUCAAAUUUGCCUCCUGCGGGCGCUGGUUUGUGAGCACCGGGAAGGACAACCUGCUGAACGCCUGGAGGACGCCGUACGGGGCCAGCAUUUUCCAGUCCAAGGAAUCAUCCUCCGUGCUGAGCUGUGACAUCUCCGGAAAUAACAAGUACAUUGUGACAGGCUCAGGGGACAAGAAGGCCACCGUGUAUGAGGUGGUCUACUGAGACCCCCGCCAUCUCCCGGCACCCCUGGCCCGGCUCCUGGGGAAGGGGCAUCCCGGACAGAGACCCCGACACCCCCUCUCCAUUCAUACCUGUGAGUGCUAAGUCCCGUCUGCCUUCUGGCCGACUCCUUCCCACCUUCCCUGGCUGGACGUGGGGCUGGACAGGCAGGUGGACUUUGGGGAAAUAAAUGUAUUUAUCACAA